rnacentral:rRNA from 1 species
ACAGAUCGUUCAGAGUUUGAUCCUGGCUCAGGAUGAACGCUGGCGGCGUGCUUAACACAUGCAAGUCGAACGGAGCGGCCAUGACGGAGUUUUCGGACAACUGAUUGGUUUGCUUAGUGGCGGACGGGUGAGUAACGCGUGAGGAACCUGCCUUGGAGUGGGGAAUAACACAGAGAAAUUUGUGCUAAUACCGCAUAAUGCAGUUGAGUCGCAUGGCUCUGACUGCCAAAGAUUUUAUCGCUCUAAGAUGGCCUCGCGUCUGAUUAGCUAGUUGGUGGGGUAACGGCCCACCAAGGCGACGAUCAGUAGCCGGACUGAGAGGUUGACCGGCCACAUUGGGACUGAGACACGGCCCAG